rnacentral:rRNA from 1 species
AUUGAACGCUGGCGGCAGGCUUAACACAUGCAAGUCGAGCGGUAACACUUCGGGUGACGAGCGGCGGACGGGUGAGUAAUACAUAGGAAUCUGCCUAGGUAGUGGGGGAUAACGUAGGGAACUUACGCUAAUACCGCAUACAUCCUACGGGGGGAAAGCAGGGGGAUCUUCGGACCUUGCGCUAUUAGAUGAGCCUAUGUCGGAUUAGCUAGUUGGUGAGGUAAAGGCUCACCAAGGCGACGAUCCGUAGCUGGUCUGAGAGGAUGAUCAGCCACACUGGGACUGAGACACGGCCCAGACUCCUACGGGAGGCAGCAGUGGGGAAUAUUGGACAAUGGGCGCAAGCCUGAUCCAGCCAUGCCGCGUGUGUGAAGAAGGCCUUAGGGUUGUAAAGCACUUUCAUUGGGGAGAAAGGCUGUUUGGUUAAUACCCAAGCAGAUUGAUGUUACCCAAAGAAGAAGGACCGGCUAACUCCGUGCCAGCAGCCGCGGUAAUACGGAGGGUCCAAGCGUUAAUCG